rnacentral:ncRNA from 1 species
GUCCCGUGACUGGCGGUAACAUGUGGAAUUAACCACAGGGGAACGGGAUCAAUAUGGAUCAGCCGACCGCCUGGGCCU